UAGCAUGUUUAUCAAAAACAUUUCUUUCAGAAAUUAUUUAAAGUAAAGCCUGCCCACUGAUUGUUAAAGGGCCGCGGUAUACUGACCGUGCUAAGGUAGCGUAAUCAUUAGUCUUUUAAUUGGGGAAUAGAAUGAAUGGCUAAACCUAUAAAAAUUUUAUUUUUUACAGGUUUCAAAAUUUAAUUUUAGUUGAAAAUGAUUAAUUUUAGAAAAAAGACGAUAAGACCCUGUAGAUCUUUACCUAAAUUUUAAACUUAAUUUUUGGGGGGAAGUUAAGUUUAAAAUUUAGGUUUAGUUGGGGCAACUUAAGAAAAAAAUUAACUUCUUUUACUUAAUUAUAUCUUAAAUUUUAAAAGUUAAAAAGUUACCUUAGGGAUAACAGCGUUAUAACUAUUAAGAGUUCUAAUCGACAUAGUUGUUUGCGACCUCGAUGUUGAAUUAAAAUUUUUUUGGGGGGCAGUUUUUUUGAGAAACAGUCUGUUCGACUGUUAAAUUUUUACAUGAUUUGAGUUCAAACCGGCGA
rnacentral:rRNA from 1 species